GAUUCCUUCCAUCUUGAAUGAA
rnacentral:misc_RNA from 1 species